UGGGGAAUUUUGGACAAUGGGCGAAAGCCUGAUCCAGCGACGCCGCGUGGGGGACGAAGCCCUUCGGGGUGUAAACCCCUGUUGUGAGGGACGAAUAAGGUCUGGAGGAAAUGCCAGAUCGACGACGGUACCUCACGAGAAAGCCCCGGCUAACUACGUGCCAGCAGCCGCGGUAAUACGUAGGGGGCGAGCGUUACCCGGAUUCACUGGGCGUAAAGGGGGCGUAGGCGACUUAGUGUGUCGGGUGUGAAAUCCCACGGCUCAACCGUGGAAUUGCGCCCGAAACUACUAAGUUUGGGGCCGGUAGAGGGAGAUGGAACUGCUGGUGUAGGGGUGAAAUCCGUAGAUAUCAGCAGGAACGCCGGUGGGGAAGCCGGUCUCCUGGGCCGUGCCCGACGCUGAGGCCCGAAAGCUAGGGGAGCAAACCGGAUUAGAUACCCGGGUAGUCCUAGCCGUAAACGAUGCUCACUAGGUGUGGGGGAAUCAUUCCUCCGUGCUGCAGUUAACGCGUUAAGUGAGCCGCCUGGGGAGUACGCCCGCAAGGGUG
rnacentral:rRNA from 1 species